rnacentral:rRNA from 1 species
AUUGAACGCUGGCGGCAGGCCUAACACAUGCAAGUCGAGCGAGCGGCGGACGGGUGAGUAAUGUAUGGGGACUGCCCGAUAGAGGGGGAUAACUACUGGAAACGGUAGCUAAUACCGCAUACUAUCGGAUAACCCAUAUGGGAUUAGCUAGUAGGGGAGGUAAUGGCUCACCUAGGCGACGAUCCCUAGCUGGUCUGUGAGGAUGAUCAGGCAAACUGGGACGGGGACCCGGCCCAGACUCCUACGGAGGCAGCAGUGGGGAAUAUUGCACAAUGGGCGCAAGCCUGAUGCAGCAAUGCCGCGUGAAUGAAGAAGGCCCUAGGGUUGUAAAGUACUUUCAGUCGGGAGGCGUUACCGACAGAAGAAGCACCGGCUAACUCCGUGCCAGCAGCCGCGGUAAUAC